GCUCUACCAUCCAGUUGUACAUAAUGUUCUAGAUAGGUAAGUUAAUUAGAUAUCUUGUGUGCAGUUAGACAGGACCAGCCCCCCAGGAGCCAAUACAGCAAGGAACCCACAUGGAGAACAAUUGAGGCACAUUCACUGGUUAGCAUUAUAAAAGGAAGAGGCACUACUUCCCCUAGAGAUAGACAGCAGUGAUUGAUAUUCUAAAUGGGAAAUUCCUUGUAUGGAUUUGUCAUCCCAUUUGACCCCCAUUUAAUCAAUAUUACCUGGGUGAUUGUACUUGUAAUCUUAUUGGUUGGUCAUGGAUUUGUCCCACCUCAUGCCCACCUGUAAACUUCCAUUGGGUCUUAUAGCUUUGUCCCACUUUGUACCCAGCUCACAACAUGGCUGUGCUGUAUAAAAUAUCUUUGAAAAGUGGGGUGAGUGGGCAACCCACUUUCUGGUCCCCCUUCUGUCUCUCUCAGGUAGAAGCUUUCUUUCUCCCAAUAAAGUUUUCUUACUCUUAAUCCCCAUUGUUCCUAGAAUUCAUCCUUCGAUUUUAGAGAACACGAACUCAUGUUUUGGAUAUCUAGUAGGUUUGGGAGUUACAUCUCUUUCCCUUAUAUCAUUUUGGAGGUCUUCCACCGAGAGUACUGGUCAGAGAUUAGAAGUUCCAUAUCCGAACCUCUUAUUCCUUUGGAAUGUAUUAUUUCUACACCCAUGUGUGUUGUGCCUACCCCCUAAAGCCAAGUACACAGAGGAAAGUACUACGAUGCUAUCUCACAAUUAGAAUUAUACUGUAAAAGAGAAAAUGGUCAAAACCAUCUUAUGUUGAGAUUUGCUUUACAUUAGGAAUUCUUGCUUGUGUUCAAAUGUAAAUGUGGGCCAUAGAAAAAUGAGAGACACCUCACCUUUAGGCAUUCAGUACAUCUAAGCCUGAGGCUACUCCUCGCCCUAACCAGCAGGUGCUGACGGUGGAAUAUCUAGGCCAGCCUUGAUUAAUCUCUGAGGCUAUAUCCAUCCUGAGCUAAGUUGUUCAUGUCCCUCAAAGACAACAUCCCUUGCAGGAAUUAAGUGGCAAAUAUGGGACUACAUGUGUUCAUGUGUCUUUUUCUCUCAGUGAUCUAAGACAGAGUAAAUGAGGCCUAAGAAAGUUUUCAGAUGAUCCUGAUGCAUUGAGAUCUUUUGAAGAAUUUACUCAGACCUAUGGACUAGAUUAGAAAGGUGUAAUGUUGCUCUUAAAUCAAACAUGGAUUUCUAAUGAGAGACAAGCAGUAUCACAAGCUACUACUACAUGUAGGGACAAACGUUAUCUUAAUUUUGGAAGCUCAAAACACAGGCAACCAGGGGAACAACUGGGUCCUACUGGAACACAAGCAGUUCCUACACAAGCCCCCACUGGCCUGCCAAUCAGAUAGGAGAUUAAAUAGAAGACAUUUUCAGGCAUGUGUUCUUGAAGGUCUAAGAAAGAUGAGAACUAAGCCCUUCAAUUAUUUUAAAUUGCCAACUAUUUAUCAGGAAAAAUAUGAGGACAUCCCUAGAUCCUGACUUGAUAAAAGGAAAUGCUAUAGUUUUUCCCAAGUCACAGUCUUGCAAUAUGUAGAUGGUAGGCUGUUAUGUGCCCCCUCAGAAGAGCUUUCUAGCCAAGACAUUUGCUCUGCUGAAUUUUCUAACAGACAGAGGUUAUAAUGUUUCUAGAUCUAAGGCACAAGUUUGCAGCCUUGAGGUAAAAUAUUUAGGCC
rnacentral:lncRNA from 1 species